CUCCAAAAGAAGGUGGAACAGGCAGCUCCUGCACUGGCAUAAGCCAACAAAGAGCUCUUUCUCCUGGGAUAUCUUAUGUCAGCCAAAGAACUGACUCAGUGGUAUACAGGUGAGCAGUGAAGAAGCAAACAUCCUCAUCUCCUGCUAUGACAGGAAAGAGGCAGCAAUACCCCACUGCACCUCCAAUUUCCAGUUAUCUGGGAGAGGAUUCAAAACCCUGCUGGAAUCUGUCCAAUCUGUGAGUAUCCAGACCCCAUGUUCUCCUUUCAGUGGCUAAAAUCUGAAUUCCUGACUGGAAGAGGAGAAAGAGACAGCAAGGAAAUUAAAGGAACUUUACAAAUAUUCCCUUGCAGGGUGGAUUUGCUCCCAUGGUAGCCCUGCAGUUUGUUCCUGAGCCUGGCCUGUCCUGGCUGGCAAUGUGAGAGGCUGACACAGUGCUCUCCACUGUUGGUGGCAUGGAAAUGACCUGAGCUGUGGGUCAAUGGUGCCAGCAUAGGUCUGACUCUGCAUGUGCACCAAUAUCCCCGUCCCCAGGGCAGCUCCCUGCACACAGCAUCUGCUCUGUUUCUCUCUCUGCAGAGAGAAAUGUAAUGGCAUGUUUGUGACUGCUGCACCCUUGCUGGAGUCUCAACAGCUCUGCUGGUGUCUGGGCUCCUGAGGGAAUAAACACAGAGGGGAAAAAGAGCCAAAGCACCAGGGGAAACGAGAAAGAAGACAGGGAGCUGCCAACAAAGGCUGUCUCCUGCCUGUUCAGACAAAGCUUGUCUCACUGCCAAAGUGGCAGAAAAAUGCUGCCCUGUAAAAGCAGGCAGGGAGAAAUAAAGCAAGAGGUGCCUCUCAUUGCUGGCUGGUCACUGGGGUCUGUGUGCCAAGGCUGGCCCUGCACACCAGGCUGCAUGGUUUUUGGCUCACUGCUGAGCCGGGACAGAGCGGAGCUUUGACGACAGUCCAGCAUUUUGGAGAAGAGCGGGGUGGCCAAGCAGAGGAGGAACCCAGCUGCAAGUCAGGAGACCCAGACUGAGCUACCAGCCCCGUGAUUCUGGAUGUGCUGUGUCCUUUCCCCAUUUAUUGCUGACAGCAUGAUAAAGUCUUUUGCAACAUCAAUCACCUUAAAACAAUAAAACCCAUAAAGCAGACCUAACGUAUUUCUUC
rnacentral:lncRNA from 1 species